rfam:Cavia porcellus supercont2_106 genomic scaffold, whole genome shotgun sequence.
GCCUUCUUAGUGUAGUAGGCAGCACAUCAGUCUCAUAAUCUGAAGGUUCUGAGUUCAAGCUUCAGAGGGGGCA